rnacentral:rRNA from 1 species
UACGGAGGGGGCAAGCGUUAUCCGGAUUUACUGGGUGUAAAGGGAGCGUAGACGGUGCAGCAAGUCUGAUGUGAAAGGUCGGGGCCCAACCCCGGGACUGCUUUGGAAACUGCCAUGCUAGAGUGCUGGAGAGGUAAGUGGAAUUCCUAGUGUAGCGGUGAAAUGCAUAGAUAUCACGCAGAACCCCGAUUGCGAAGGCAGCAUACCGGUGCACAACUGACGCUCAGGCACGAAAGCGUGGGUAUCGAACAGG